UACGUAGGGUGCGAGCGUUGUCCGGAAUUAUUGGGCGUAAAGAGCUCGUAGGCGGUCUGUCGCGUCGGCUGUGAAAUCCCGGGGCUCAACCCCGGGCCUGCAGUCGAUACGGGCAGACUAGAGUGCGGUAGGGGAGACUGGAAUUCCUGGUGUAGCGGUGAAAUGCGCAGAUAUCAGGAGGAACACCGGUGGCGAAGGCGGGUCUCUGGGCCGUAACUGACGCUGAGGAGCGAAAGCAUGGGGAGCGAACAGG
rnacentral:rRNA from 1 species